UGAGGAAUUUUGCGCAAUGGCCGCAAGGCUGACGCAGCAACGCCGCGUGGGUGAUGAAGGCCUUCGGGUCGUAAAGCCCUGUCAGGUGGGAAGAAAGGCCUUGAUAAGAAACGGUUGAGGUUUGACGGUACCACCAGAGGAAGCACCGGCUAACUCCGUGCCAGCAGCCGCGGUAAUACGGAGGGUGCGAGCGUUAUUCGGAAUUACUGGGCGUAAAGCGCGUGUAGGCGGGGAUGCAAGUCUGAUGUGAAAGCCCUGGGCUUAACCUGGGAAGUGCAUUGGAAACUGCAUUUCUUGAGUACUGGAGAGGAAGGGGGAAUUCCCGGUGUAGAGGUGAAAUUCGUAGAGAUCGGGAGGAAUACCAGUGGCGUAGGCGCCCUUCUGGACGGUAACUGACGCUGAGACGCGAAAGCGUGGGGAGCAAACAG
rnacentral:rRNA from 1 species